AAGACUAGGAAUCAGUAAGGCCAUCUAAAGGGCUCAGCGUACAGUCUUUGGACACUAAGCUUUCACUUGGGAAGUGAGUGUCAAACAAUUUACGUGUUAUUUUUUUCUUUUUUCACUAUUCAUCAAGCUUUCCUGAAGCUUACUAUGAAGUCCAGAGGAGCAUGAAAUUGAGAAUGAGGAAAAUGUGCCACAUGUCUGUCCCACUUUCAGAUCUCAUAGACAAAUCAUGCUUGGAUCCACAGAUUCACACUGGAGAGAAGGUUUGUCUUGGGUGAUGGUACUCAGGAGCCAACCCAAUAUCUCACACAUAGCAGACAAGCACUCCAGCUGUGCCCACAGGUAAGGAGGAACUUUGGUAAGUUGCUGCAAGUCUGCCCCAAAGGAGAAAAGGGAGAAGCACUCGGAACACUCACAGUGUGUCGUGGAAACGCUCACUGCUAUGGCUACAGCCAUCAGGAGAAGGCAUAUGGC